rnacentral:rRNA from 1 species
UCCCUACGGGAGGCAGCAGUGGGGAAUAUUGGACAAUGGGCGAAAGCCUGAUCCAGCAAUGCCGCGUGAGUGAUGAAGGCCCUAGGGUUGUAAAGCUCUUUUACCCGGGAUGAUAAUGACAGUACCGGGAGAAUAAGCUCCGGCUAACUCCGUGCCAGCAGCCGCGGUAAUACGGAGGGAGCUAGCGUUGUUCGGAAUUACUGGGCGUAAAGCGCACGUAGGCGGCUUUGUAAGUUAGGGGUGAAAGCCCGGGGCUCAACUCCGGAAUUGCCUUUAAGACUGCAUCGCUUGAAUCCAGGAGAGGUGAGUGGAAUUCCGAGUGUAGAGGUGAAAUUCGUAGAUAUUCGGAAGAACACCAGUGGCGAAGGCGGCUCACUGGACUGGUAUUGACGCUGAGGUGCGAAAGCGUGGGGAGCAAACAGGAUUAGAUACCCUAGUAGUCGC